rnacentral:rRNA from 1 species
ACUCAAAUGAAUUGACGGGAGCUUGCACAAGUGGUGGAGCGUGUGGCUCAAUUCGUCGCUAAGCGAAGAACCUUACCAGGGCUAGAAAUCCUACUGCACGCCUAGCGAAAGCUAGGAAGCCUUCGAGGGUGUAGGACAGGUGAUGCAUGGCUGUCGUCAGUUCGUGGUUUGAACCGUUCCCUUCAGUGGGGUAACGAACGCAACCUUCGUUGUCUGUUACACGUAUCAGGCGAGACUGCCCCCUCACGGGGGAGGAAGGUGGAGAUGACGCCAAGUCAGCAUGUCCCUCUGAUGUCCUGGGCUGCACACGCGCUACAAUCGCCGUUACAAAGGGGCGCAACGGGGUAACCCUGAGCAAAUCCUAUAAAAAGCGGCGCCAGUUCGGAUUGAGGUCUGCAACCCGACCUCAUGAAGCCGGAAUCACUAGUAAUCGUGGGUCAGCACACCACGGUGAAUACGUUCUCAAGCUUUGUACACACCGCCCGU